AUGUGCACUAAAAACAAUUCCAGUUGCUUAAAUUCAACACUGGAAUUUAAAUCAGAAAGCUGGAUACUGAAGCGAGGGAAUUCUUCCGAUCAAAGACCCAGAAAUGCUAUGGCAACAGGGGCCUCUGAGAAGCCUCGGAGCUUGGGCUUCAGGUAUGCGCUCCACCCACCCGCUCCGGCACACGGCUGUGUUCAGGAAUUGCUCCACUUCCUGAAGCUCCGCACACGGGGAGACCAGAAUUUCAGCCCGGAGGGAGGAGGGGCCCUACUGUGCCCGCCGCUCCCAGUCGAGGCGACCCGGGGCGACCCGAGGGUCACGGGUGCUUUUCGCCAUCUUGUUUGCAUCUCCUGGGCAAAGGUGCGAUCUAAAGGCUUCGAUCAACGCGAGUCCGAUGUCUGCAGCGAUGGCGGUAGUGGCCUCGAAGUGGCUCGGAAGGGUUAUCCCGCGCGCCGCGACGUUCAGCUCUCGGUAGGAGACUUCCAUGGUUGGUAAAAUUUGCAAGAAUUUGUCUGGCUCAGCACUUCUCCCCCCUCCGAGCACUUGCCAAGGACGGUGGACGUGCUAGGGAGACCAGAUGUCCCCCAUCACUGCUCUGCACCCCGAGUGAUGAACACCUGUGCUUGCCGUUCUCCUACAUGACUGAAGCCUAUUUUCGUCCCAUCGAUCAUUAAUUGUAAAUUGGGGGACCUCAGUAUAUCAAAGAAAAAUAUUUUGUUUUGGUUCAUUUUCAGGUCUAGAGAAAUUGCUUAUCCUCACCUAUAAACUCUUCUGUGUGCUGGGAGUCAGGUUCCCUCCUGUGUCUAAAUCACUUCUCAUAGUAAAGCACCAACAGUUCUCUGGUGACCUGAAAGAAUUCCUGACCCCUGGCCCCCAACACUCAACUUCGCACACGGUCACUGGCGCCAGGCGGACAGGGCCUCCCGCUGUUACAGGCAUGCACACUCCAUCCCCGACGCUGCACACGGGUGUCCCACCAACGCCCGCAUGGCGCUGAUGGAGAUCUGGUGUCUGUGUUUCCCAGGAGCUAGGUGGGCUUGUACCUGUUCUUCUAAGUUAUAGAUUUCUUUCUGAAACACCGUCUCACUAUGUAGCCCAGGCUGGCUUUGAACUCCUGGCGAUGCUUCUGCCUCAGCCUUCUUUGUGCUGGGAUGACAGGCCUGCACCACCCAGCCUGGCAAAAUUAUACAAAAUGUUCUAUUCUGAUCAGGGAAUAGCAGAUGAAAGGAGAAUAAUAUAAACACUUUCCAAAGAUCCACUUUAUGCCGGACACUAAACUAAGCACUUUACAUAUUCUAAUAAAACUCUCUGAAGUAGGCAAGAACUUGCAGUAGGGAAAUUCAGUGAACACUCAGGAUCACGCAGUAAGUGGUGGUUCCAACAUGGGAAUCAGGCCUGACACACAGCCCGUGCACCUUGUGCCGUGUGACACAGCCUUCCCCAGCCCUGCUCCCGGCCACAACUGCUAUAACAACGACUUUCUCCUGUUUUAUCUCUUUAGGACUCCAACCAGCCUGUGGCAGAUUUCUUGAUUUAGGUUCCACCUCUGUGGUCUUUAAAACCACCUGCUCUCUGCGGAGACCACAAGCACACUGUGUAGCUCUUCCUGUCCAGAUGGAGAUCUGUUCCCUUCCUCUGCCUGGGGCCUGCCUAUGUGAUGCUCUAAACAGUAGAGGCAGGGGCACACGAAUGACCCUGCUUCUUAUCAGAUGGGUCACCUAGCUGGGCCCAGCCACGUUGCCAACCCACAGAACGGGGAGUGCAAUGCUUGCUGUUUUAAGCCACUGGGUUUUGGGGUGGUUUGGUACACAGCAAAAGCUAACUGAUACAGCUUCUCUGGCCUAGAUUAAGAGACUCUUUGCAGUUAAAAACAGAUGUGGAUAGACCCAAAGGUCAUUGAAAAUUUACUAAUGAUGGCUUAUUCAUCUAUUCUGCUUCCUACAAGUCCAGUCUGAUUCAACGUUAGUACUCCCUAAAACCACAUAGGUUAUAUAGUUAAAAAGCUGACAAUGGCUAGAUGUGGUGGUGCAAGCACUAGGGAGGCUGAGGCAGGAGGAUGGCUUCAAGCCUGAGGCCAGCCUGGGAGUUCAAGACCAGCCUGAACUAUAUACAAACAAACAGUCACAAACGACAAACAGAAGGUGACAGUGAACUCACGCAGCCUUCCCCUCUCCUAUGCUCCUUGAGGCAACUCUUAUCUCCUCAUAGCACCCAGCACAAUCCUCCUGUAUAUCACAUAUCCACAGAAAACAAUUCCCGAGCAAUAGAAGAGAGAUUAUUUUAAUCCCUAAGGAACCUAAAACCUUCCAACCACUUUGAAGGACAGUGUAGUCAUAGCCUUAGUGUUAAAAUCUGGCA
ensembl:lincRNA